GUGCUCGCCUCAGCAACACAAAUACUAAAAUUGGAACGAUACAGAGAAGAUUCGCAUGGCCCCUGUGCAAGGAUGACAUGCAAAUUCGUGAAGCGUUCCAUUUUUUC
ensembl:snRNA U6 U6 spliceosomal RNA